rnacentral:rRNA from 1 species
GGGAGCUGCCGAAGGCAGGAUCGAUAACUGGGGUGAAGUCGUAACAAGGUAGCCGUAUCGGAAGGUGCGGCUGGAUCACCUCCUUUCUAAGAAA